AACGAACGCUGGCGGCAUGCCUAACACAUGCAAGUCGAACGAGACCUUCGGGUCUAGUGGCGCACGGGUGCGUAACGCGUGGGGACCUGCCCUUAGGUUCGGAAUAACUCCCCGAAAGGGGUGCUAAUACCGGAUAAUGUCUUCGGACCAAAGAUUUAUCGCCUUUGGAUGGGCCCGCGUUGGAUUAGCUAGUUGGUAGGGUAAAAGCCUACCAAGGCGACGAUCCAUAGCUGGUCUGAGAGGAUGAUCAGCCACACUGGGACUGAGACACGGCCCAGACUCCUACGGGAGGCAGCAGUGGGGAAUAUUGGACAAUGGGCGAAAGCCUGAUCCAGCAAGGCCGCGUGAGUGAUGAAGGCCUUAGGGUUGUAAAGCUCUUUUACCCGGGAUGAUAAUGACAGUACCGGGAGAAUAAGCUCCGGCGAACUCCGU
rnacentral:rRNA from 1 species